GGCAGCGCGACGCACGCAGCGUUAUCGCCCGGGCAGGCUCAGCGCAGCCGAGUGGCAUUUUCCUUUCAUGCAGAAACCGACACCAAACGCGGGGCAGGAGGAUUCGCGGCCCCCCGGCGCAGCCCGCGACCCCGGCCGGCAGCCUCUCAGAGCGGCAGAUAAGUCGGACGCGCAAGUCGGCUCUGAUGUGGCGGCCGAAGGCAAAGUUUUUUUCCAGACGCCAAAUACAGCGAGGAUGUGGCUGCUGGUUGUAUGAAUCCCUCUAACUGCAGUAUCUGAAUUGAUAUAUUGGAGGAAGAAGGAUCGACAAGAGACACAGCAUCACCUAACUUCUGACUGAGCUGCAAGAACACGCAGCCUCUGAAAAACUCAGUAAGUCCCCUAACAAGAGGGGAAAAAAAAUGGAAAGAACAAAAAAAGGCCACCUCUAAUGAUAAAAAUAAGUAACUUUCAUACAGUAGUAAAAGAAGAGUAUGAAUCCAA